UACAGAGGGGGCAAGCGUUGUUCGGAAUUACUGGGCGUAAAGGGCGCGUAGGCGGCCGCCUAAGUCAGACGUGAAAUCCCUCGGCUCAACCGGGGAACUGCGUCUGAUACUGGGUGGCUUAAAUCCGGGAGAGGGAUGCGGAAUUCCAGGUGUAGCGGUGAAAUGCGUAGAUAUCUGGAGGAACACCGGUGGCGAAGGCGGCAUCCUGGACCAAUUCUGACACUGAGGAGCGAAAGCCAGGGGAGCAAACGGG
rnacentral:rRNA from 1 species